rnacentral:rRNA from 1 species
UACAGAGGUCUCAAGCGUUGUUCGGAUUCAUUGGGCGUAAAGGGCGCGUAGGCGGCCACGACAAGUCACUUGUGAAAUCUCCGGGCUUAACUCGGAACGGUCAAGUGAUACUGUCGGGCUAGAGUGCGGAAGGGGCAACUGGAAUUCUCGGUGUAGCGGUGAAAUGCGUAGAUAUCGAGAGGAACACCUGCGGCGAAGGCGGGUUGCUGGGCCGACACUGACGCUGAGGCGCGAAAGCUAGGGGAGCGAACGGG